AGUUAUUUCCUCGAAAGUAACAACAAAAAUCAGAACAGUAAUUUCUUUUUCCCAGUGCUUAUCUGGAAACUUUCAGUGUCUAUUGUUUGAUAGACUGGCCAGACUGGUAUUCCAGACUCUUUGCUACUGAAGCUCAGAAUCUGAUUUGUAAGUCACUGCCAACUUUCAGACAUUUUCUACUUCUGAGAAAAUUCUUAGGCUGUGAUGUUUCAUACUUACAUUAUCAAAUGCUGUUUUGAGCUAACAGCACUUUGUGGCAGAAACAUGUUUCUUCCAUUACCAGGGCAUCAGCAGCUCUAAUGACAACAAACCAAUUUCUAUCCCAUUGUGAAUAAUGUUUUGGCUUUGCAUUGGACAUCAUUACAGAUGAAAGGAAAAUGGCUGAAAAGAAACCUUCAGAGACCUGGUCAGGAAAAUUGUUUGGGAAGAAAAAAAAUGAAUCGUGAUCCUGGAAAGAGACCCUGAACACAUACAAAAGACCAUAUGGUAAUGAUCAAAGUUGAGGGAAAACAAAAAGCUGCCUUCCACCUGCAAAAGAGAAUUGUCUGAAGAUAGUGAAAUGGGAAUGCUUUGAAGAUAAGCCAUCACGCAGUGUGGGAAAAGGAGGCAAGAAGUGAAACCUGGUAUUGAGACAAUUUCCUAAGGUGUAUUUUGUGAUAGGUGAGUGGCAGAGCCAGGUGCUGAUUAUUUUCUACCGUGUUCUAACAUGUAAAAGUCAGCAGAAGUGCUAAUUUUGUUACCUGCUUUUCCUCAUAACCUGCUUUCCAGUAUGUAGAAAGCAGGCAGGGGAGGAACUCAAAAUGAUCUCAGCUCUUUCUUUCAAAAUAUUCCAGGUAGCCAGUCAUCUCCCACUCCUGAAGUGGGAUUCCUAUGUUGUCUUCCAUGCUCUUCUCCUGGCUUACUUCAGGAAGAUAAAGGCUUAAUUUCAAACACGGGCUCUGCAAUCUCUCUCUCCUGUGCUUCUUAAUCUGUCUGAAAUCCGAAGGUAGGAACUGAUGGGAAGUGAGGAUGCUAUUUUUGAGGUCACAUCGAGAGAAAUUUCUAUACUAACUAAAUUAAUCAAAACCCAGCAGCUAUCAAAAGAAUCCAGAUGAAGUGUGGAUAUUCACAUUGUGGAUAGGGUCUGAAGACUACAGAGAUGAUAAUCUACUCUCUUGCACUGUCAGUAUGCUCAUUCUUAAGAAGCCAUCCAACAGAAGAAAAAAAAUCCAAGUCCUAGGAAAGUGACGGGAGCAAAGGCAGGUCUGGGCUCAAACACGACUUAAAGACUUGAAGGUGGGGUGCACACUACAGAAUCACAGUGAACAUCCACAUUUAAAGAAUAGAAGAAAAAGCCUUCUUCCUCAGGAAGUGGGGAAGGGGACCUAAAUUCUGCUUUGGAUAUAUCCAUUAUCUUAGCAGGAGAAACAAACAAACAAAAAAGAAACAGUGCUCUAUGUAAAACUUCUUCUAGUUACAAGAAGUAUACAUCAGUAUGUAGCAAUUUCAUGUAUUAUGUGUCUAAAGGUACUGUUAGAUAUCUAACAUUUAUCAGUCACUUCCCUGGACUACAGAGUUUCAAAAACCAAGCUGUGCAUCUGCUGCAUAAGACACCCAGGCACUUUUCAACUUUAGUGUUGACAACUAAUAAAGCUUGAAGACCAUUAAAUUAAGAUUUUGCUAAUCUCCACUUGCAAAAGACAGAAGAAAACCUAAACCAAAGCCAAACCAAACAAAAAAAACCAACCAACCAACCAACAAAACCUCUCCAAAACAAAUUACUUUUCUUAUACUGUCUCCUUAGUAAGAUCAGCAUAUUAAGCUGGAAUACAAAGAGAUACAGUAGAUUCUCGGCUGUUAAGAUUCCGGAUUGGUGCACUUCGGUGUUCCUGGAGGACUUCAGGCUUCACUGCACAAUGCAGCAUUCAAAAUUCAAUAGGAAGAUGAAUUGGAAUAACCGUUCUUGUCUGUGAUAGGAAAAUAGCGACAUCAGCAAAAUGGUUGAUUACACUGAAACUGGGACAAAAAAAUGCUUUAAACAAAUGUUGGCCAGCACAUAGGGCAGCUGGUUAAAACCAAUACUAUAAUCAUAUGUGAGCAACACAAGGUAGUUUUAUACCUUCUUUUAGCCAGAAUUGAGUGCGUAGCACUUACACCAUUCUUUAGAUCUAUGUGGAGAGAACUGUCUCAACGGUUUCUUGUGUGAAAGUUGGGAUAAGGCUUCCAGUUGCAUACGAAAAAGCUGUACCUUUGACCAUUUGUGAGAGUGUUCACUGAUCAUGUGUUGAUAUCCAAAUUUGUAAGUAAAAGAUACAGGAAAAAUGAAUAAAUCAAAAGCCAUAGACAUAGAACCAAAGAUUCCAAACAUAAUAUUUUGCAUUGCUAAAAUGAAUAAUUUAAUGCCAUGUAAGACAAAUUGAGCUCAGGCUAUAUAUUCAAUGUUAAGCUAAGAUGCUACCACAUUUCUUAGUUUCACUUUCGAGGAACAUCAUAGAGAAACAACUGCAAUUUCGGUCUUCUGGACUAAACCUUCCUCAUAUCCAACACAAAACCCAGUGCUUUUUAUUCCAUGGAAUGAUGACAAUAUUAAUUUGGGCAAAAGGAGAUUAUAUAAUAUACCUUUAUAUAGAAUAGUCUACGUUACAAUCAAACGUUAAGUUUAACAGUAUUUGCUAUUCAAUUGACAAGCUUCUCUUGUAUACAAAGAGAAAGAAAAUACCCUGGCUUCUACUGAGAUAAUUUGUAAAUGGAAGGCUGGUAAGUUUAAACAAGAUAGUGAAUAUAAAAUUACCAUCAAAGAUAAACCAUAAUCUUCAAAGUUGCAGCUGAUUUCAAACAUUCCUUUUGAUAGAUUCCUAGUACAGCAUUUUUUUUGGAAGUAUGAACACUCCAAAUCUCCUCUAUUUAUAGGGAAGUUUGUAACAGGUUCAAUUGGAGACAUCAAAAACAUUUUAAAUAGACAUCACAAGAUGCAUCUGUAGUUUAAAGGUCAAAUUUAUUAGGAGAUUAAGAGAUGUAUUAUACAUGGACUAUAAAUAUAGCACAGCUGACUUUAUUCACAGUCAGACAGCCAAUGUCAACCUAUUUUGUAGACACUCUUGUUCUCUUGUUCCAAGAAAAGUUUGCACCAUACGACUUGGAUUUAGGUUUUGGAAUCUUCUUCUCUUCAACAUCAUAGCUCCAGCCUGGAGGUUACAGGGGAAAUGGUGGGGGGAGAAAAGAAACAAAGAGAAUUCUAAAUAUUCUCAGCAUAAAAUAGAGAGCAAAUGCAACUUAAACCUUUUAACUUUAAUGUCUUUUUCUCCACGUAGGCAUCCACUAGUUUAUUCCUUUGUAGUUAGCAGCAGAGAAUACUAAAAUGCCACAGAUGUGACAAAUGCCUGUUCUCUCAGUUGAUAAUCCCUAACUAUAUUAUGUACCUACAUUUUCUUUAUUCCUGCAAACUUGACAGUCAUCAGUGAAAAAGCUCAACAGGGAAUACUGACUGUCCUGCAAGUUCAUGGCUCCACAACUCAUCAGCAUCACAGAAGCAGAAAGGCUCUGUGUAUGCCAGCACAGGAAAUGAAAGUAAAGAUAAAAUAAGGGAAACAUGGGGAAAAAACAACAUACAGAAGAUCAAUGCUAAAGCUUGGGAAAGAAUGGAGACCAUGGAAAGGUACAGAAAAAAGAAAGGUUAGGAGGGCCAAAGAAAGGAAUAGCAAAGAAAAAACUUAGAUUCUAAUUCUAAAAAUUUAGAAAGUAGUUUAAUACUUAACGUUUUCAUAAGAACAUAAAAAAAUAAGAGUAAAAGAAAAGAGAAUGAAGUGAUAGAAGACAAGUAAAUUAUGUGAUAGUUAAGCAAGAGAAAUGCUAAAAAUUGUCAGAAAAGAGGAGGUGGAGACAUUAGUGUUUAUGUAAAUCAAAAUGCAAAUUGGUUGCAGCCUCCAGGUGUCUGGAAAGUUGCCAGGGCAGCACUCAGUAUGCCAAAGUUUUGUCUCUUUAGCUGCAACAUUUCACUCAAAGUUGAGGUACUUGAGUUGAAGCUAGAAGUGGUUAAGUAUGAAAUUUUAACAGAUACUAAUAAGAUGACACUUUUUUUUCUUAGUUUUAAAACAAAAACUUCGUAAGUCUUUAAAGGUUUAAUAUAUAUCUAAAUUUCUACACUUAAGAUGUUCACAGAAAACACUCAAGAUACAUCUAUGUAUCAAAACAAGUUUUGUAAAAUACACAAGUUUUCACGUCACUGUGACUCAAUUUUGUGUAUUCACAAAUGUCACACAAACAUUUCCUUCAUGUUUAUUAGGCUGAACCAAUAUUAAUUUCCAAGUUAACUAUUCUCCACAAGAAAUGCUAGAAUAGAGGUUUUAAAAACAUUAUUUCCAUCUGUGAGGGCACCAGCUUUUGCUUACUGUUCUGAUUAAAAACACAAGCUUGAGUAAACAACCAGAACUAGAUCCAGACUUCGGUAUCGCAACAUUCAGCAUUGUAACACCUAACUUUGAAGCACUUGGCUGCUGGGAUGGAAUCUACAGGCCCAAGUUUUGUGUUAUUUUUUUACACAUUAGACAGAGUGGAGCUGAGCACCUCCAAAAGAGAUUCACAACUGCCAAUACACUGACUUGGCCUGCCAUAGCCAUCCAAAAUCAAAAAAGUUAGUUAUAUCCAACUUUGGAUUGUAAGAGGCCACUAUAUGUGAUAAAGUUUCACACUCUGGAACAGUCCCCUUGAGUUAGGCACCUUCAGUUGUUCAUGAUAGAGAGCAGAGGUCACCUUGUUACUCAAGAUACAUGUUUUUAAACAACUAUCUCAGUGAUGUCAGACAGGAUUAAAAAAAAAAAAAUUAGGUUGACAGGUUAAACUUCUAAUUUCAUCCUGUUACAAGUGCCUCCUCCUUACCUCGACUUCAGACCAUCCUCAGCUGUCAUAUUUUACACAAAUUACUCCCGUUACUGUAUUCAGUGCUGUUAUUCCUACACUAGAAAACAUCAGAUGGGGCAGGACGAAAGACAGCUUGCCUGAGGUUCCUGAAGUUCUAAGAUGAGAAACAACUCUAAAGUCUCCCAAUCCUAUCAAAAUACCUGCAAUAUCUAGGUUUUACAGAGAUUAAACUUGAGGUUUUUAAGGAAUCUUGUAAUGGGUUGGACAGAGAGGUAAAUAUUUGUGUUCCUAGACUUAGACAUGUUUCAGUAACACCUCAGUUCAGAAAAGUAGUUCCAUUGUAAAUGAGUGCCUAAGUUUCUCAUUUCUUUCUAAACACAGAACUCAAUAUUGUAAAAUUUAUAAUUCCAGGUACAUCUGAUACAGAGGCUAUUACUACAGUAAAUACUAUGCACAUAUCAUGUGUAUAAAACUGAACCACCUUAAAUAAAAACGGAGUGAGAAUUUAGGCAAGCCAGUAUGUGUAGAAAAGUUUGGUACAUCUCAUUUAUGGUAAAAUUAAGGGUGCAAGCUAAGGAAUACUAAAGUAAUAAUAUUAAUACUAAGUCACAGCCUUAGUUUAGUUGGUAGAGUUUCUUUGUAGUUUUCCUGCAAAACAGAGAUUAAUUACUAGUUCAGUGAAGGCAUAAACUUCCUACCCCUAACGAUUCAAGUAUUUUACUUGAAUCUGCAUUUUGAAAAGACAAAAUACAACACAUUUGAGAAGACAAUAUAAGUAGCUCAUAAUUAUAGUGAUUUGUAGGCCAGGAUUAAGUUUUUUUUCUCUUAUAGGCUGAAUUUCACAAGAAAUAGAAAUAGCAUGAACAAUACAGAAGCAUAAAGCAACACCAGAUUCUCCUAAACUUCCUGUUUGUUCACAGAACAUUACAAAAUACUAUUAACAUUGCACAUCUAACAACUCUGCACAAUUUGGUCUGAUCAAGAACUUUACUCUCUAUUUACCCCAGACCAAAUCAUGUUGAAAGCUGUAAACCACAGGGAAGACUUCUGAAUAAGCUUACACUCCAUGUGCAUUAUUCCUGCUUUAACUCACUGCAAUUAAUCUUCUUCACAUCCAUGAGCACUAAGCAUCAAGCCUAGCUCUUUAAGAAAAAUUAAACUGAUUUUAAAAAAAGUCGCAAAAAGAAAAUCAUAUCGACACAUAAAAGGACUGCUGAAUAUUCAAAAAACUGAGAUUAUGAGUACUGCUUGUGGUACCACAAUUCUGUGAGAAAAUACAAGCCUAGAUAACCUUGGAAGUUUAUAGAUAUAGUCUUUCUGAUACAUCAUUACCAUUAAAAUAUUAAGCAAUGAUACUGGGUUUUCUACCGUCUCUGUUCUCAAAUAUGAACAAACAUCACAUGUAAGUGUUUAGGCUCCAGUAUUGUACUUGGGAAGAGCUGAAAUAACUUCCUCAGUCUAUGACUUCUCUUUGGGUCUGUGGCAGGGAAGGUGCUGAUCUCCUCUCUUUGAUGACCAGCGACAGGACACGAGAAAAUGGAAUGAAGCUGGAUCAGGGGAAGUUCAGGUUGGACAUUUGGAAGAGGUUCUUCACUGACAGAGUGGUCAGUCACUGGGACAAGCUCCCAGGGAAGCAGUCAUGGCACAAAACUUGUCCGAGUUCAAGGAGUAUCUGGAUGAUGCUCUUGGUCAUAUGGUUUAGUUUUAGGUGGUUCUGUGAGAAGCAGGGAGCUGGACUUGAUAUUUAUGGGUACCUUACAACUCAAAAUAUUCUGUGAUUCUACAAUAAAUCCAUUCUGCAACAUGGCCAAAACUAAAGUCCAACAUGCUUACUUCGUAGUGACUUAAUUUUUCUGAUUAUCAAACAUUUACAAGGAUUCUGAUUGUCUUUCCGCAACUAGAAUUCAGAUGCUCGUGUCAAGCCUUCAGGCAAAAAUCCCAUUGCCAUGCUGCUCAGAACCGCAGCCUGGGAUACUCUUAAAGACAAGGUAUUAAUUCUCCUCCAAGACCUGAGCAAGACUCAGUUCUCACUCAAAACACAGAUAUUUGCAAAAGCAUUGCAACAGUAAUGUUAAGAGGCGGAAACACUUUUCCAAAAAGUGGAAGGUCUAAAUUCAAUGCUUUCAGCACACUCAGAAAAAUCCCCUCCCUUCCCCCAUUUUCUUCCUCCUCAAGUACAGCACUAGAGGUCUACCAUUUUUGUGAAGCAGAGGCAAGAGACUUUAUCCCGUACUUCUUCUGUUGUUAAUGCUUUGAGAUCAAGAUUGCCUACAGAAACUGAAUCCCUCAUAGCUAAUAGGUAUAAUACAUACCAUUUUUUUCAGCAAAGGCAAUGGCAUCUUCUUUAGUAGAGAAAGUAAGAACCAUGUUGGAUAAAGGAUCAGCUCUGUAAGAAAUCAAAUGACAAACAGAAAAUUGUUAUAUCUGAUCUCAAGUUCUAUAUUACACAACUUUUUGUAGUACGCCACCUCGCAAGCCAUUCAAAACCCCUUUAUUUUUAUUUAUUUCCAUGAUUAACACUUUCAGAAGAGUAUAGUUCCACUCUCGCAAGCCUGUUAAACUUCCCUCCCAAUUCCUUGCAGAAAUUGAUGUUUUAAGUUUUUUUGACAAACACAUCUAACCACCUGCUGAUGUUAUAAUAAGCGCUCUGAAACAAUCUUUUUCAUUUUUAGAUCUCUGUAGUCCAUCUUUUUUGAAAGAUUAGGAGGGUUAAGGCAAUUUUAAACAUUUUAAGGAGACAAGAAAUCUGCAGAGCACUAGGGGAAAAAUAAUCUUAUACAGAAAAAAGCAGAAUAUCAAACUGAACAAAGAAGGAAUUAAUCAGAGACUGAAAGUACAUAAAAAGCCCUCAAGAGUUCAGCUUUGGCUGAAGUUACAACAAGCAGAUUGCAGGCCAUUACUGAAAAGAAAGAUCAGAAAUGCAAACUGCUAGCUAACUAAAUACAAAGUGUCUAGUUUUAGAUGAUCAGCUAUUCCUUAACGGCAUUUCUAAAAGGAUUCAAACAGCAAAAAUCUUUUUGAAACAAAUUAAAAUCUCAGUUAAAAAAACAAACUACCUUAUUUGUUGCUAUAAAACCUCAAUUUAAGAACAAUGACAAUGAAAAAAACAGCGCUUUAAAAAUCAGUCCACAAAGCUUUUAGAGAAAUAAGAUAGUGGCAGUAGAAACACUAUGAUUAGUCAAUGCUUCCCUGAGACAACACUGCACAGGAGCCUGGGAGACAACUGGGAAGAAAAAACCAAAUUGCAACAAAUGAUUGAAGAAGCUGCUUCUCAAUCAUUCUCUCUUCAAAGCUAGAGGAGUAAGUGAAGAGAAAAAGCAACUAAAGACGCACUGAACUCUCUACAAUAAAGGGCGAAGCCUGUGACUGGUGGAGGGGGAGGGGAAGAGGGGGAAUCUAGCUUCCAGCAAAGACAAAAAUGUAAUUUUAUCUGAUGUACUCUUGGAAAAUGGAGUUCACUAUAUAUCUGAUAUAAAAACCAGGAUUUACAGCAGGAAUUACACUUUCACAAGCCACUAAGAUGGGCUCUCUUAAAGACAUUUAAAGAUUUCUCUUAUAAAGGUAGUAUGGAAAAUUAGGAACUAAGAAUUAGUCCAUGGCGUGAUCAGUGGAGAAUCAAGUGACCCACAUAUACCACAAUAUUGCAACAGCUUUUGCUUAUCAUUCUUCUCUUCCAUGACUAGAGCUGGAAAAAUCUCAACGCUACCAAGUGGAAAACAAAGAAGUUUAAGUCUGAAAUGUUGCGAUGGGCCACUCCCUGCUCAGUCCUGCAAGUUUGGCAAAAACUUCACAGGACAGAGGCAUCCUGGAAAUGAGGAUUGUGCAGAAAAGACUUGUUCUGUUGUCAUGUGGAAUAAUCUUUCAUACAAUUUAAAUACAGCUUUUUUAUUUCUUUCCAUAAA